rnacentral:pre_miRNA from 1 species
GAUUUCAACUGAAAAAUUCAUCAACAAUAAAGUUGUAUAACUCAUUAAUAUCUAUAACUUUUAUUUUGGUCACUUCUUCAUCCGAUAAAGUAAUAGUAACAUUGUUCACAAAAUUUACAUAUAUCUCUUAUAGAUUAUAAAACAGUAUAAGAGAUAUGUAAAAUUUGUAAACAAUGUUACUAUCACUUUGUCAGAUGAAGAAAUGACCAAAAUAAAAAUUGUAGAUACAGAUGGAUUAUACAACUUUGUUGUUGAUGACUUUUUCAGUUGAAGUC